rnacentral:rRNA from 1 species
CCUGGCUCAGGAUGAACGCUGGCGGCGUGCCUAAUACAUGCAAGUCGAACGCUUCACUUCGGUGAAGAGUGGCGAACGGGUGAGUAAUACAUAAGUAACCUGGCAUCUACAGGGGGAUAACUGAUGGAAACGUCAGCUAAGACCGCAUAGGUGUAGAGAUCGCAUGAACUCUAUAUGAAAAGUGCUACGGGACUGGUAGAUGAUGGACUUAUGGCGCAUUAGCUUGUUGGUAGGGUAACGGCCUACCAAGGCGACGAUGCGUAGCCGACCUGAGAGGGUGACCGGCCACACUGGGACUGAGACACGGCCCAGACUCCUACGGGAGGCAGCAGUAGGGAAUUUUCGGCAAUGGGGGAAACCCUGACCGAGCAACGCCGCGUGAAGGAAGAAGUAAUUCGUUAUGUAAACUUCUGUCAUAGAGGAAGAACGGUGGAUAUAGGGAAUGAUAUCCAAGUGACGGUACUCUAUAAGAAAGCCACGGCUAACUACGUGCCAGCAGCCGCGGUAAUACGUAGGUGGCGAGCGUUAUCCGGAAUUAUUGGGCGUAAAGAGGGAGCAGGCGGCACUAAGGGUCUGUGGUGAAAGAUCGAAGCUUAACUUCGGUAAGCCAUGGAAACCGUAGAGCUAGAGUGUGUGAGAGGAUCGUGGAAUUCCAUGUGUAGCGGUGAAAUGCGUAGAUAUAUGGAGGAACACCAGUGGCGAAGGCGACGAUCUGGCGCAUAACUGACGCUCAGUCCCGAAAGCGUGGGGAGCAAAUAGGAUUAGAUACCCUAGUAGUCCACGCCGUAAACGAUGAGUACUAAGUGUUGGGGGUCAAACCUCAGUGCUGCAGUUAACGCAAUAAGUACUCCGCCUGAGUAGUACGUUCGCAAGAAUGAAACUCAAAGGAAUUGACGGGGGCCCCCACAAGCGGUGGAGCAUGUGGUUUAAUUCGAAGCAACGCGAAGAACCUUUCCAGGUCUUGACAUCGAUCUAAAGGCUCCAGAGAUGGAGAGAUAGCUAUAGAGAAGACAGGUGGUGCAUGGUUGUUGUCAGCUCGUGUCGUGAGAUGUUGGGUUAAGUCCCGCAACGAGCGCAACCCCUGUUGCCAGUUGCCAGCAUUAAGUUGGGGACUCUGGCGAGACUGCCGGUGACAAGCCGGAGGAAGGCGGGGAUGACGUCAAAUCAUCAUGCCCCUUAUGACCUGGGCUACACACGUGCUACAAUGGACAGAGCAGAGGGAAGCGAAGCCGCGAGGUGGAGCGAAACCCAUAAAACUGUUCUCAGUUCGGACUGCAGUCUGCAACUCGACUGCACGAAGAUGGAAUCGCUAGUAAUCGCGAAUCAGCAUGUCGCGGUGAAUACGUUCUCGGGCCUUGCACACAC